GACGAACGCUGGCGGCGUGCUUAACACAUGCAAGUCGAACGGUAAGGCCCUUCGGGGUACACGAGUGGCGAACGGGUGAGUAACACGUGGGUGAUCUGCCCUGCACUUCGGGAUAAGCCUGGGAAACUGGGUCUAAUACCGGAUAGGACUACGGACUGCAUGGACUGGGGUGGAAAGCCUGUGCGGUGUGGGCUGGGCGCGCGGCCGGUCAGCUUGUUGGUGGGGUGAUGGCCUACCAAGGGUACGACGGGUAGCCGGCCUGAGAGGGUGGCGGGGGACACAGGGACGGGGGUGCGGCCCAGACUGCUACGGGGGGCAGGAGUGGGGAAAAGUGCACACUGGGCGCAAGGCUGGUGCAGCGACGCCGGGUGAGGGAUGACGGCCUUCGGGUUGUAAACCUCUUUCAGCAUCGACGAAGCGAAAGUGACGGUAGGUGCAGAAGAAGGACCGGCCAACUACGUGCCAGCAGCCGCGGUAA
rnacentral:rRNA from 1 species